UACGUAGGGUGCGAGCGUUGUCCGGAAUCAUUGGGCGUAAAGCGCGUGUAGGCGGUCCGGUAAGUCUGCUGUGAAAGUCGGGGGGCUCAACCCUCGAAUGCCGGUGGAUACUGUCGGGCUAGAGUGCGGAAGAGGCGAGUGGAAUUCCUGGUGUAGCGGUGAAAUGCGCAGAUAUCAGGAGGAACACCUAUUGCGAAGGCAGCUCGCUGGGACGUAACUGACGCUGAGACGCGAAAGCGUGGGGAGCAAACAGG
rnacentral:rRNA from 1 species